UUCUAACCCUUUGGAGUUGCCAUUUCUUAUCUCUAAAAUAACAGCAACAACUCAACAACCUUUGACUGAGGACAGACUGUUACAUUGCGCUGGACAGUGUGUGUGGAGAUACAGCUACCACUUCCAGGAGAGUGAAGCAGUGGACACAAAACACUGGUGCUCUUAUUUCAUGAGCAGCCUGGGCAUUUGAACAAUAUCAUCAGUCAAGGCCCAAGAGGAGACCAACAGCAGCUGUAAUUGGAACU
rnacentral:lncRNA from 1 species